rnacentral:tRNA from 1 species
CGUAGCUCAGUUGGUAGAGCACUUGACUUUUAAUCAAGGGGUCCUGGGUUCGAGCCCCAGC